AGAGUCCCGCAUGAGGCUUUGAACAAAGAUUUAUCGGUAUGAGAUGGCGAUGCGUCCCAUUAGCUUGUUGGCGGGGUAACGGCCCACCAAGGCAUCGAUGGGUAGGGGUUCUGAGAGGAAGGUCCCCCACAUUGGAACUGAGACACGGUCCAAACUCCUACGGGAGGCAGCAGUGAGGAAUAUUGGUCAAUGGGCGGAAGCCUGAACCAGCCAAGUAGCGUGCAGGAAGACGGCCCUCCGGGUUGUAAACUGCUUUUAGUUGGGAAUAAAACGGGGCUCGUGAGCCCCCUUGCAUGUACCAUCAGAAAAAGGACCGGCUAAUUCCGAGCCAGCAGCCGCGGUAAUACGGAAGGUCCGGGCGUUAUCCGGAUUUAUUGGGUUUAAAGGAAGCGCAGGCGGACCUUUAAGUCAGCUGUGAAAUACGGCGGCUCAACCGUCGAACUGCAGUUGAUACUGGAGGUCUUGAGUGCACACAGGGAUGCUGGAAUUCAUGGUGUAGCGGUGAAAUGCUCAGAUAUCAUGAAGAACUCCGAUCGUGAAGGCAGGCAUCCGGGGGGCAACUUACGCUGAGGCUAGAAAGUGCGGGUAUCAAACAGGAUUAGAUAGCAAAGUAGUCCGCCCGGUAGUCGAUUUACACUCAGGAAACAGGUAUCACUGGCGG
rnacentral:rRNA from 1 species